rnacentral:rRNA from 1 species
GACGGGUGAGUAACACGUGGGUAACCUGCCCAGAAGCAGGGGAUAACACCUGGAAACAGAUGCUAAUACCGUAUAACAGAGAAAACCGCCUGGUUUUCUUUUAAAAGAUGGCUCUGCUAUCACUUCUGGAUGGACCCGCGGCGCAUUAGCUAGUUGGUGAGGUAACGGCUCACCAAGGCGAUGAUGCGUAGCCGACCUGAGAGGGUAAUCGGCCACAUUGGGACUGAGACACGGCCCAGACUCCUACGGGAGGCAGCAGUAGGGAAUCUUCCACAAUGGACGCAAGUCUGAUGGAGCAACGCCGCGUGAGUGAAGAAGGGUUUCGGCUCGUAAAGCUCUGUUGUUAAAGAAGAACGUGGGUGAGAGUAACUGUUCACCCAGUGACGGUAUUUAACCAGAAAGCCACGGCUAACUACGUGCCAGCAGCCGCGGUAAUACGUAGGUGGCAAGCGUUAUCCGGAUUUAUUGGGCGUAAAGCGAGCGCAGGCGGUCUUUUAAGUCUAAUGUGAAAGCCUUCGGCUCAACCGAAGAAGUGCAUUGGAAACUGGGAGACUUGAGUGCAGAAGAGGACAGUGGAACUCCAUGUGUAGCGGUGAAAUGCGUAGAUAUAUGGAAGAACACCAGUGGCGAAGGCGGCUGUCUGGUCUGUAACUGACGCUGAGGCUCGAAAGCAUGGGUAGCGAACAGGAUUAGAUACCCUGGUAGUCCAUGCCGUAAACGAUGAUUACUAAGUGUUGGAGGGUUUCCCGCCCUUCAGUGCUGCAGCUAACGCAUUAAGUAAUCCGCCUGGGGAGUACGACCGCAAGGUUGAAACUCAAAAGAAUUGACGGGGGCCCGCACAAGCGGUGGAGCAUGUGGUUUAAUUCGAAGCUACGCGAAGAACCUUACCAGGUCUUGACAUCUUCUGCCAACCUAAGAGAUUAGGCGUUCCCUUCGGGGACAGAAUGACAGGUGGUGCAUGGUUGUCGUCAGCUCGUGUCGUGAGAUGUUGGGUUAAGUCCCGCAACGAGCGCAACCCUUAUUACUAGUUGCCAGCAUUCAGUUGGGCACUCUAGUGAGACUGCCGGUGACAAACCGGAGGAAGGUGGGGACGACGUCAAAUCAUCAUGCCCCUUAUGACCUGGGCUACACACGUGCUACAAUGGAUGGUACAACGAGUCGCGAAACCGCGAGGUUUAGCUAAUCUCUUAAAACCAUUCUCAGUUCGGACUGUAGGCUGCAACUCGCCUACACGAAGUCGGAAUCGCUAGUAAUCGCGGAUCAGCAUGCCGCGGUGAAUACGUUCCCGGGCCUU